UACGGAGGAUCCAAGCGUUAUCCGGAAUCAUUGGGUUUAAAGGGUCCGUAGGCGGUUUUGUAAGUCAGUGGUGAAAGCCCAUCGCUCAAUGGUGGAACGGCCAUUGAUACUGCAAGACUUGAAUUAUUAGGAAGUAACUAGAAUAUGUAGUGUAGCGGUGAAAUGCUUAGAGAUUACAUGGAAUACCAAUUGCGAAGGCAGGUUACUACUAAUGGAUUGACGCUGAUGCACGAAAGCGUGGGGAGCAAACAGG
rnacentral:rRNA from 1 species